AAAAAAAAGAAUAGAAAGAGGGCAAAGAAGCAAUCUGCUUUUUCUUCAAUUUGGCAUUCGCAAAACGACACCGUUUUUCACUUAAACAUAGUGCUCGUUUUGGCAUUCUUCCUACAGCAUUCUGUUCUCCCGGACAAAAGCUUUGGGCUGUGUAACUCCUCUGCCAUUUGUCGCCGUGUGCUGGUCGUCCGGUGAGUCGGUGACACCGUCGGCUGCGAACGCCGCCUGCUGCUGCGCCGUCUCCAAUUAAAUAAAGUCAGAAGUCCUUAUUUAACCUAGGUUAUGUUUAAAAAUUCCGAUUGCCUUUGAGAUUGGACAAAGAUUGGAUUUCGUGAUUGCUGUGAAGAGAUGAACAGCCAAGAAAUGUUGAAUAUUUGCAAUCUGGUUUUCCAGAGGCAAUCCAGAUUCAAGUAUAGGGGAUUUGUCUUCAUAUGGGAUGUCGAGUAUUGCAAGAGCCAUUCCCAAUAACGAAUACUUCAAAGCAGCACAACAAUUGCUUGAUGAAGUUGUCAAUGUCCAGAAAACACUGAAGCAGCAUGAUAGGGAGAAGAACCAAAGCACACACGAGCAUCGAGAUGAUGGAUCAAAGAAUGAACUCGAAAGUCACAUAUCUUCAAACCCUCAAGACACAGCCAGUAACUCACAAUGUGAGCUUUCACAUGCUGAGAAACAAGAGUUGCAAAGCAAGUUGACGAAGCUUCUGUUUAUGUUAGAUGAGAGGAUGACGUUGGCAAAGUCUAAAAUGACACAAUGUUGAUAGAAGUGUUAUGCGGGCAAUUGGUCCAAGGAUUUUGAGUUGCAGUUGGUGAGUGAGUAUUCUUGAAAUUACCCACUUGGAAUAUGUGAUGAGGUACGGGAAACGUGGGAAAUUAAUCCCCGUCAUGUCAAGUCGUUAAGGAAGCUACUUGGGAACUCGAGGAGCAUAUGUGGCCUAGUACCCAUACCCCUUAGAUUGUAAUAACCCGAUCUUAAAUUAAUAUAUAAUUAUUCAAUAAAAAGACGAUUUUACCCA